rnacentral:misc_RNA from 1 species
GAUGAAGAAGCAGCGAAAUGCGAUAAGUAAUGUGAAUUGCAGAAUUCAGUGAAUCAUCGAAUCUUUGAACGCACAUUGCGCCCGCCAGUAUUCUGGCGGGCAUGCCUGUUCGAGCGUCAUUUCAACCAUCAAGCCCCCGGCUUGUGUUGGGGACCUGCGGCUGCCGCAGGCCCUGAAAAGCAGUGGCGGGCUCGCUGUCACACCGAGCGUAGUAGCAUACAUCUCGCUCUGGGCGUGCUGCGGGUUCCGGCCGUUAAACCACCUUCAUAACCCAAGGUUGACCUCGGAUCAGGUAGGAAGACCCGCUGAACUUAAGCAUAUCAAUAAGCGGAGGA